ensembl:lncRNA
AUGCUUGGGGGGUCCAAAAGCUCAAAGCACUUUCUCUUCUUAUCUCAUCUCUGCAGGUCCACCCUUGCCCGUGGAAGCAGAUGGAAUGGAGAGGAAUUUCACCCUGGCCUCCUUCACACUAGCCCCGUGACUCAAAUGAAUGAAGAAGUGAAUCCAAACCUGGAAGUGGAUAUUUUUAAAAAAAGUCCCAUCAUCAUUUUGGGAGCUGAGAUGUCCAAGUGUCACAGAGGAGGAUUUCUCAAUGAGGAACUGACCAGCAAGGGAGAAAAAUACCCUUUACAAACACUUCCUGCUAGAAGUCAAAUGGCCCUUGCCUUGCAUCUCCAGGGAUGACGGCCUGGAUGAGCCGCACUGAGCAGGUGCUGUUUCCCAGCACAGACGCCCUGCUGUGUCCUGACGGUCCCACAUUGCCCUCAAUCUGAAGGUGUGGAUAAUUAAGGUAAUGAACACUUUUCCACUAGUUGCUGAAAGCCUCAUUAAUUUACACACAUGUUGCCGCAGGCAAAUUUUGGCGUCAAGGGUGGGAGGAUCAACAAAAAUAACUUCAGAAAUUCAUUAAUCAGACUUAGUCAAACAUGUUGUUUGGAACUGAGUGUUCUUAUCCUGUGAUGGUCAGAGGAGGAUUAGAUUUUUUUUUUUUUCCCCAAAGACACGAAAGGGACUUCUUAAGCAAUAUUUGGGAACAUCUAGGUUAUUGUAUUGGCAUUUAUGACUCUGGUGGUUGACGCUAAUGGAAUCUGUCCAAAGAUUUCAGUGUGGAGGAUUCCAUAAAUGCUGAAUAUGCUACAGUGGAUGAUUGGGGUUUCUAAGUAUGGCAGAGGGAAAAAAUGAUCAUGAGAUCACAGAGAGAAACAUACCCAGUGAGGACAGAGAUGACUAAUGCCACCAAAUACUCAUUUUCUCCCUGACAUGUCAUAGGCGACCUUGAAGUCAGGUCGGAGCUACAGAAUUAUCUGCUGGUUUGCUUCCCAGCCCUCUCCUUUUUUUGUUGUUGUGGUAGGCUUGGAGGACUCUAUCCCAGAUGACAAAAUGCAAGAGGAGAACUUUUGGACCCAUCCUGGACUUUGUGUGCAUGAAAAAUAAAGUUGUAUUAUGUUAAGCCACAGAGAUUUCCUGACUGAUCAGUUACUGCAGCAGUCUACCAUUCCUGACAAAUGCAUCAGCCGCUUCAUUUAAGGCUAAGCACAUUUUCUUUUGAAUAUGUUGAUUAGGCCAGUUGUCCCGUGACAACCUCAUGAGCAGAGUGUCUGAAUUCCAGCAUGCCUUUCCAGACGAUCUUUCAUGAACAAGAUGGGGUAUUCUCUGAAUAAACUAGGGUCAUGGGCAAUGGAUAAGAAAACAUCUAAGCUACUUAAAUAAGGAUCUACCCUAAAAGGGUGGAUUAGCAAAUAAACAUGAACCUUAAAAGAGGAUAUUGGCUGGGUGCAGUGGCUCACGCCUAUAAUCCCAGCACUUUGGGAGGCUGAGGUGGUGGAUCACCUGAGGUUAGGAGUUCGAGACCAGCCUGACCAACAUGGAGUUCUGUCUCUACUAAAAAUAAACUAGCCAGGUAUGGUGGCGCAUGCCUGUAAUCCCAGCUACUUAGGAGGCUGAGGCAGGAGAAUCGCUUGAACCUGGGAGGCGGAGGAUGUGGUGAGCCGAGAUCGUACCACUGUACUCUAGCCUGGGCAAGAAGAGUGAAACUCUCUCUCUCUCAAAAAAAAAAAAAAAAAAAAAACCCACAAAACCCACAGUAUAUUAAUACAUUCCCUAUUCAGUGUCAUUCAACACUUUAAACAAUGGCUUCAGAGACAAUAGAGACACCCUGCUUUUUAAGUUUGUCUGUGCCACAGAGAAAUGACAGGCUGAGUAUCUUGCCUGACAGAUUCAGAACACAAAUAAACUCCAGUAGGCCAGACCAUGGGCCUAAAAUUACAAGAUGAGAGAAAAGCCUCUCAUAUAAAUGUGUAUGUAUGUUAAUUUGAACUGCAGAUCACAAGAGAGGAGGGAUGAAGUUUGAUGUAUUUUGAAAAUAGCUAAGUAGACCACUAUUUUUAGAAGAUGAGGUAAAAGUCAAUGGGAGAUAGGACUGAAAGUGGUGUGAGGCCUGCAAGUGGAGAGCCCUGAAUUCCAUGCCUAGGAGUUCAGGCAAUGGGAAGGCAUCAACAGUGUUUGAGAGAGGAAGCGACAUGAUUUAAUUUAGUUUUUUUUUUUUUUAAAACACUUCUUUUCAUUUCCAAGGUCCACUAUCUCCUUUCUCUCCAGUUGGUUGGAGGAUACCUGUGAGGGGCGUGGUCAUUUGUUAAGUUUCAGGCACUAAUACAUUCACUGAUGCAUUUAACCCUCACAACUAUGAGAGGUAGGUUCAACUAUACUCAUUUUACAGAUGAAAAAGCUGAGGCUCAGGGACUUUAUAAAAUUUAUCCAAAAGCUCUCAGCCCCUCUUGGACUGGAUAACAUGGUGUGUAAAUAGGAAGCCCCAGUGGUUCUGCAGGUUGAGUUUCCCUUAUCUGAAAUGCUUGGAAGUAGAAGAGUUUCUGAUUUUGGAAUUUUUUGCAUUUUGAAGUAUUUGCCUAUAUAAAAUGAGAUAUCUUGGGGUAGGACCUGAGACUAAUGUGAAACUCAUUUGUGUUUCAUAUACACCUCAUUUCCAUAGCCUGAGGUAGAUAAUUUUAUAGAACAUCUUAAGUAAUUUUCUGGACAAAACCAAGUUUUUGUUUUGUGGGUGUAGUUGUGUUGGAAAAUCUGGGUGUGUGCAGGAAAGAUACAUCGCAGCUGAAAGGGGCUAGCAGGACCUUUUUCCAUUUGGUAAGUUCAAUAAUCUGUGUUAUGUGCCUGGCUUUUGAUGGCACAUUCUGCCACAUAAGGUCAGGUGUGAAAUUUUCCACUUGUGGCAUCAUGGUGGCCCUCAAGAAGUUUUAGAUUUUGGGGCAUUUUGCAUUUCAGAUUUUCAGAUUGGGGUGCUGACCUGCAUAAACAUUGUAGUACCAGGAAGAAAGCCAUACGGACGAGAACAGAUCUGGACCCUUGUAGAGAAGGGGAAACAGAUCCCUGAUCAAGCCUGACUUGAAGGCCAUCCUACUGCCGGUCUUUUUAGUUGUGUGCAUGACAGUGAGCCAAUUUGAGUUGGGAUUUCUAGACAAGCACACUAA